rnacentral:misc_RNA from 1 species
AUCGGAUCGUUUUAGAAACAUCAGGGGCCAACAGAUCGCCAGAUCGUUGAGCUCCAUUGGCGGGAUUUCGCCGUCUUCGUUUCUCUUUCUUCGCGGACGAACACGCGCCAGGGCUGCGCUGUACGAUUGGCGCUUGCCGCUGGUCGCACGCGAGCAAGACCCUAGUCCUUGUAAGGAUAUGCGUUAGGGGCUUGUAGCUCAGUUGGUUAGAGCGCGCGCUUGAUAAGCGUGAGGUCGGAAGUUCAAGUCUUCCCAGGCCCACCACUUUCAUCGAGUGUAAGCAUUCGUCUUCUGGUUACGGGGCCAUAGCUCAGCUGGGAGAGCGCGUGCUUUGCAAGCAUGAGGUCGUCGGUUCGAUCCCGUCUGGCUCCACCAGCCUUCGCUGGCGGAUCGCCAGCUACGGCUGGGUAAACCGAUCGAUGCGAAGGCUGUCACGUCGAAGCUCCUAAGAGCGAAGACGGGUUGGCGCCGGCAACGAACCAAAUCGUCCGCGAAACAUCACUUCGCACCCACUGGUCCGGAUGGACAGUGACGUGCGUGAUUUCUGACAUCGUAAAGAGGAGAUCGAUCCGAGUUGGAUCGUGCAGCAAAUUGUUGCGCGAGCCUUCAUUAUCUCCGGAUCAUUUCGGCGCUCGCUUUCAACCGUGAGGUUGGCUGCGAGUUGUAAAUGAUCCUUUUAGCGAAGCUUGACCGCCUCGCUAUCGGAACGAUCUUACGAAGCAAGCUGGUCUUUCUAGUCAAUGUCCGGCUGCAGAUAGCGUUCAUCGAGGGCGCGUGCCGCAAGGCAAUUCUGCAGACAACAUUCUGCCGAGUGUGUGGACAUUGAUAAUGAGAGCAAUCAAGUGCCUUAAGGGUGUUCGGUGGAUGCCUUGGCGCUGAGAGGCGAUGAAGGACGUGCUACGCUGCGAUAAGCCGUGGGGAGCUGCGAAGAAGCUUUGAUCCACGGAU